GUGAUUAUACCAGCACUAAUGCACCGGAUCUCUUCAGAACUCCGAAGUUAAGCGUGCUUGGGCGAGUGCAGUACUAGGAUGGGUGACGCCCUGGGAAGUCCAUUGUGUUGCACCU
rnacentral:rRNA from 1 species